rnacentral:rRNA from 1 species
CCUACGGGUGGCAGCAGUGAGGAAUAUUGGUCAAUGGACGCAAGUCUGAACCAGCCAAGUAGCGUGCAGGAUGACGGCCCUCCGGGUUGUAAACUGCUUUUAGUUGGGAAUAAAAGGGGGCUCGUGAGCCUCGUAUUGUAUGUACCAUCAGAAAAAGGACCGGCUAAUUCCGUGCCAGCAGCCGCGGUAAUACGGAAGGUCCGGGCGUUAUCCGGAUUUAUUGGGUUUAAAGGGAGCGUAGGCCGGCUUUUAAGUCAGCUGUGAAAGCCCCCGGCUUAACCGAGGAACUGCAUAUAAAACUGGAGGGCGGGAGUGAAGGAGAGGUAAGCGGAAGUUGUAGUGUAGCGGUGGAAUGCGUAGAUAUUAGGAAGAACCCCGGAGGCGAAGGCGGCUUACUGAACUGUAACUGACGCUGAGGCUCGAAAGCGUGGGGAGCAAACAGGAUUAGAUACCCCAGUAGUC